UAUGCACAUUUAGCAUUAUUUUUUGCUAUUAGGAGCAACCCAACAAAAAGAAAAUUUUCUCUGAUUCAGAGACAAAAUACAAGGAGAAAAGAAGACAGAAAGAGAAGAAAAGAUGACUAGUUGGAAUGCGUUUCAGAAGAUUAAAGCAAGAAAGGCAGUCAGACCGUUUUCAUUAUUAUAUUUCAUAUGGAAUUCAUGGUUCUUCAAGUGUAUUUAUUCUGAGACCCAUAGAGAAGGACCAUCAGCUACCUGGGGAAGUUAUUCUCAUGGUGAUUAUUGAAGAACCAGAGGUCAAACCAUCCUUGCAUGUACAUUUCAAGCCUCUGCUUGCAUGUCUUGUGCUAAUAUUCUGUGGUAGUCAGAAUGACCCCCAAAGAUGUCCAUACCUUAAUUCCUGGAACCUGUGAGUAUGUCACAUUUAAUGACAAAUGAGACUUUACAGAUGUAAUUAAUAUUAUGUAUUUAAUAUUGUAAACCUUAAAAUAGGGGGGUGGUCAAGGAUUAUCUGAGUGGACUCAAUUUAAUCAUGUGUCCUUAAAAGCAGAGAACUUUUUCCAGCUUGAAUGAGAAAGAUGCAGCCAUAGGGAAGUCACAGAGACUUGAAGUGUGAAAGGAACAUAACCCACCAUCAUUGGAAGAGGCCACAUGGAAAGCAUGGAAAGAAAUGCAGAUAGCCUAUAGGAGCAAAGACUGAUUUCUUAGUGACAGCUAGCAAAAUGCAGGAGAUCUCAGCCCUAUUACAAAAAACUGAACUCAACCAGCAAUUUGAAAAAGUUUGGAAGUGAUUCAUUCCUUGAACCAGCAUAAAAGAUCCAGCCCUGCUGAUUUAGGCCUUGUGAGACUCUAAGUAGAGGACGCAGUAGAGACCACUGAACUUCUGACCUACAGAAACUAUGAGAUAAUAAAUGGAAAUUAUUUU
rnacentral:lncRNA from 1 species